rnacentral:rRNA from 2 species
CAACGCCGCGUGAGUGAAGAAGGCUUUCGGGUCGUAAAACUCUGUUGUUGGAGAAGAAUGGUCGGCAGAGUAACUGUUGUCGGCGUGACGGUAUCCAACCAGAAAGCCACGGCUAACUACGUGCCAGCAGCCGCGGUAAUACGUAGGUGGCAAGCGUUAUCCGGAUUUAUUGGGCGUAAAGCGAGCGCAGGCGGUUUUUUAAGUCUGAUGUGAAAGCCCUCGGCUUAACCGGGGAAGUGCAUCGGAAACUGGGAAACUUGAGUGCAGAAGAGGACAGUGGAACUCCAUGUGUAGCGGUGAAAUGCGUAGAUAUAUGGAAGAACACCAGUGGCGAAGGCGGCUGUCUGGUCUGUAACUGACGCUGAGGCUCGAAAGCAUGGGUAGCGAACAGGAUUAGAUACCCUGGUAGUCCAUGCCGUAAACGAUGAAUGCUAGGUGUUGGAGGGUUUCCGCCCUUCAGUGCCGCAGCUAACGCAUUAAGCAUUCCGCCUGGGGAGUACGACCGCAAGGUUGAAACUCAAAGGAAUUGACGGGGGCCCGCACAAGCGGUGGAGCAUGUGGUUUAAUUCGAAGCAACGCGAAGAACCUUACCAGGUCUUGACAUCUUUUGAUCACCUGAGAGAUCAGGUUUCCCCU